ensembl:lncRNA
AUGGAUUUCAGUCACCUCAGCCAGUUGGGACUUCGGGUCAACUGGGAAAAGAGCAAACUCUCUCGUUCAAGGAGCUUCGGGGUUGUGGACAAGCCCCCAUCUCCAUUGGCACAUCAAUUGCCUCAAGUUGCUUACAGUAUGUCUUGCGUUGGGCCACUUCAAAAUGCUGCUGCGAGGCAAGCAUGUACUGGUCCAUAUGGACAACACUGCGCCCGUUGCUUACGUCAACCACUAGGGUGGUCUAUGCUCCCACCGUAUGUCGCAACUCGCCCACCAUCUCCUCCUGUGGAGUCAGAAGCAUCUGAGUUCGCUUUGUGCCAUUUACUUUCCAGGCCUGCUCAAUCGUGCAGCCAACAAGGUUUCACGUCAGCAUGUGCUUCCAGAAGAAUGGAAACUCCAUCCCUGGGCGAUCUAGCUGAUAUGGUGACACUCCGGAGCCACACAGGUAGACCUGUUUGCCUCUCCAGACACAUCCCAUUGCCAGCUGUUCUAUUCCCUGACCUGGGGAACCCACGGCAUGGAUGCACUGGUGCACAGCUGGCCCCAGGGCCUACACAAGUAUGCAUUUCCCCCAGUGAGCCUACUUGCACAGAUACUGUGCAAAGUCAGGGAGGACGAGGAGCAGGUCCUGCUAGUUGCGCUUUACUGGCCCAACCGGACUUAGUUCCCAGAACUGAUGCUUCUCGAGACAGCCGCUCCCUGGCACAUUCCUCUGAGGAAAGAUCUACUUUCCCUAGACGGGACACAGAGGUCCUAGGUGAUCUACCCCAAGCAGUGGUAGACACCAUCACUUUGGCAAGAGCACCCUCUACGAGGCGUGCCUAUACCUUGAAGUGUUUGUUGAAUGGUGUUCUUCUCACCGGGAAGACCCCCAGAGAUGCCCGAUCAGAGCUGUGCUUUACUUCCUUUAUGAGGGGUUGGAGUUGUGCAAUUGCUGCACAUCACAAUCCUGUAGAUGGUGAGUCUUUGGGGAAGCACGACCUAAACAUCAGGUUCCUCCUUGCCCUAUUCUCAUACCUGCUUGGGAUCUCCCUCUGGUGCUUAUGGCAUUGCAGAGGGCUCCCUUUGAGCCGUUACAGUCUGCAGAGAACUCUGUCAAAAAAAGACCCAGCCCUAGCUUUGCUCAUGUCCCAGCUCUUCGUCUGUUACAGAGGGCAGCAGAAGGGAAAGGCUGCAGUGUUAAUUUUUGCAGGCAUUUUUGAUUUAGUCUUAGUCUUUAUCUUGAGACGAAAAUGCUUAAUAGUCUUAGUCACAUUUUAG